GAUCACUGAAGUUAAGCGACAUCGAGCUUGGUCAGUACCUAGAUGGGUGACCACUUGGGAAUACCGGGGGCUGUAAUC